rnacentral:tRNA from 1 species
GAGGGUAUAGCUCAAGUGGUAGAGCGCAUGCUUAGCAUGCACGAGGUCCUGGGUUCAGUCCCCAGAACCUCCU